rnacentral:tRNA from 1 species
GCGGACGUGGCGGAAUAGGUAGACGCAAGGGACUUAAAAUCCCUCGAUCCAGGAUCGUGCGGGUUCGAGUCCCGCCGCCCGCACCA